rnacentral:rRNA from 1 species
GUUGAGCGGAGAUACAUGGAGCUUGCUUUAUAUAACUUAGCAGCGAACGGGUGAGUAACACGUAGAUAAUCUAUCCUAUACUGGGGGAUAGCCCGAUGAAAGUUGGAUUAAUACCGCAUAUAGCUAUAUAGUUGCAUGAUUAUGUAGUGAAAGAUUUAUUGGUAUAGGAGGAGUCUGCGGCACAUUAGCUAGUAGGUGAGGUAAAGGCUUACCUAGGCGACGAUGUGUAGCCGGUCUGAGAGGAUGAACGGCCACAAUGGAACUGAGACACGGUCCAUACUCCUACGGGAGGCAGCAGUGGGGAAUAUUGCACAAUGGGGGAAACCCUGAUGCAGCAACGCCGCGUGAGUGAAGAAGGUUUUCGGAUUGUAAAGCUCUGUUAGCAGGGAAGAGGAAGGACGGUAUCUGCAGAGGAAGCCACGGCUAACUACGUGCCAGCAGCCGCGGUAAUACGUAGGUGGCAAGCGUUGUUCGGAAUAACUGGGCGUAAAGGAUGCGUAGGCGGUUAAACAAGUUAUAUGUUAAAUAUAUAGGCUUAACCUGUAGAAAGCAUAUAAAACUGUUUAACUAGAGUGCAGGAGAGGUAAGUGGAAUUCCUAGUGUAGCGGUGAAAUGCGUAGAGAUUAGGAAGAACACCAGUGGCGAAGGCGACUUACUGGACUGUAACUGACGCUGAGGCAUGAGAGCAUGGGGAGCAAACAGGAUUAGAUACCCUGGUAGUCCAUGCUGUAAACGAUGGGUACUAGGUGUGGGUUGUGAAUAACAAUUCGUGCCGUCGCAAACGCAAUAAGUACCCCGCCUGA